AUUAGUGACGCGCAUGAAUGGAUUAA
rnacentral:ncRNA from 6 species